CGCCUUGCCAGCCCGCUCAGAAACUCAAAUGAAUUGACGGGGGCCCGCACAAGCGGUGGAGCAUGUGGUUUAAUUCGAUGAUACGCGAGGAACCUUACCUGGGCUCAAAUGUAUGUUGACGUAUUCUGAAAGGGAUACUUCUUCGGACAAUAUACAAGGUGCUGCAUGGUUGUCGUCAGCUCGUGCCGUGAGGUGUCGGGUUAAGUCCCAUAACGAGCGCAACCCCUACCUUUAGUUGCCAUCAGGUUAAGCUGGGGACUCUAAAGGAACUGCCUACGCAAGUAGUGAGGAAGGCGGGGAUGACGUCAAAUCAGCACGGCCCUUACGUCCAGGGCUACACACGUGCUACAAUGGCCGAUACAGAGGGCAGCUACCUGGUGACAGGAUGCAAAUCUCCAAAGUCGGUCUCAGUUCGGAUCGGAGUCUGCAACCCGACUCCGUGAAGUUGGAUUCGCUAGUAAUCGCGCAUCAGCCAUGGCGCGGUGAAUACGUUCCCGGGCCUU
rnacentral:rRNA from 1 species